rnacentral:rRNA from 1 species
GAUGAACGCUAGCGACAGGCCUAACACAUGCAAGUCGAGGGGCAGCAUAAAGGUAGCAAUACUUUGGUGGCGACCGGCGCACGGGUGAGUAACACGUAUGCAACCUACCUGUAAGAGGGGAAUAACCCGGAGAAAUUCGGACUAAUACCGCAUAAUACCGCUGAACUGCAUGGUUUAGUGGUUAAACAUUUAUGGCUUACAGAUGGGCAUGCGUAUGAUUAGCUAGUUGGUGAGGUAACGGCUCACCAAGGCAACGAUCAUUAGGGGUUCUGAGGGGAAGAUCCCACACACAGGUACUGAGACACGGACCAGACUCCUACGGGAGGCAGCAGUGAGGAAUAUUGGUCAAUGGGCGAGAGCCUGAACCAGCCAAGUCGCGUGAAGGAAGAAGGUUCUAUGGAUUGUAAACUUCUUUUGUAAGGGAAUAAAAAAGAGUACGUGUACUCUAUUGUAUGUACUUUACGAAUAAGGAUCGGCUAACUCCGUGCCAGCAGCCGCGGUAA